UACGUUGGGGGCAAGCGUUGUCCGGAUUUAUUGGGCGUAAAGAGCGUGUAGGCGGCUAGGUAGGUCCGCUGUGAAAACUCGAGGCUCAACCUCGAGACGUCGGUGGAAACCAUCUAGCUAGAGUCCGGAAGAGGAGAGUGGAAUUCCCGGUGUAGCGGUGAAAUGCGCAGAUAUCGGGAGGAACACCCGUGGCGAAGGCGGCUCUCUGGGACGGUACUGACGCUGAGACGCGAAAGCGUGGGGAGCGAACAGGA
rnacentral:rRNA from 1 species